GCGCGCUCUGCUUCAGGUGUCCGUUGUCCUCGGCUCCNNCNCGCGCNGCUGUCANUGUCCCAGCCUCCCCCCUGGCCCGUCGCCCGGCCGCCCCGGCAGUCGCUCUGCUCUCUGGGUCGGCGCAGUCGGCGGCCGGGUCGCAGGCCUCCCUCGGCACUCUCCUCUCGUCGUGGGGGCAUCCCGUCGGGCCACACUUCACGCCUUCACAUCACCCGCCAUUCACGUCACCUCACGCGGUCGCACACAGCCAGGGGCAUCUAUCGGCACCUUGCGCGCAUUGCCNUGCAGCCCGCAUGUCGGCAUUCAGCUCAGUUGGCGGGCGUCCCAGGCCCCACCCACAGGCGCACGCAUCCCGUCAGCCUGGUCUGCAGCAGGGCAUGCAUCCAGCCCCCCAUUGGCACACCUGUCAGCACCCGGUCCCAGCACUCCUCACGGGCAGGCCAGCCCGGUGGGGCACAUCAUUUGGCACCACAUGGGCGCCACAGCCUGCAUCCCAGCCCNUNACCGCGUGGGUUGCACGCACAGGCCUUCGGGGUCUUGUCCNCAGCCCCUCUUUAGUCNGGGGGCCACCGUCACACAUCCCCNGCCCCGGGCAUUACAUCACCUGGGUUGGGCCNUGCCGGGUUCCCCCCNACACAGGCCNAUCANCGCCUCACCCGGGNCCGUNCANACUCUUCCGGUNGGCCCCCCAGGUCCUCNGUCCCGGAGCGGGGUUCCCUUNCACCCGGCCCACGAGGGGGUUGGCCUCCUCAGCCCGGUUUACCACUUCCGGGGGCCNCUUUACUCCUUCGGGGCGGCCGGUUCCCNCCCGGCGGGUUCGCCGGUUUCCGAGUUGGGUUCUCNUUCACUUCACGGUUCCCCCGUUGGUUCAGCCCCUAGCCCCNCUGAGGGGCUUUCUCUANCCCUCGNNAGGUCUCACNUCUGGACCCGUUGGGGNCUUCCAUUGGGGGNUUUGGCCC
rnacentral:rRNA from 1 species